rnacentral:lncRNA from 1 species
CAGCUGUUCAGCCUGCAUCCAUGAUCCAUUAACCCAGGCCUUGCUGGGAAGGGGCCCAGAAAGCCAGAGCGUCCAGGCAACCCAGGUGAUUGUUAUACUCAGGAAGCUUUCAAAAAUACCUCUAGAUACAAGAAAUGCUCAGCUGCAGAGAAGCAUCCAUCAAGAGUCUAGCAGGGGCUCUUGUUCCAGCUGCUCCCUGUGACUCCCCACUGCUCUGCAUUCUGCCAUAUCCAGUGAUGGUUUAUGACACAAUUCACCAGGCAGCAAGCCAUGUGCCUCUUACAGACAGCAAUUAGGAGAAAGGAAAGGCCGAAUUACAAGCAUGUCAAUAAAGGCCCAGCGAACGCCCUCAACCAAUUCCUCCAUCUACAAGAAAAUACCCAAAGAGGGAACGUCAAAGCCAAGAAGCUUCAGUCGAGGUUUUCUGGAACAAAAUUGGCUUGCAUGAGAAAUGACUCUUUACUCAACAUGGUCUGACCAGAUCUGCUUGACAAGACUGUGGCUGAUAAUAUGUGGCAAAGGCAACACUGCCCAAUGCUAGCCAGAAAUGGAGAAAACAAACAAGAAAGGUGAGCCAAUGUGUCAUCGUCGUGGCAGCACACUCAAAGACAAGGACAAGAGUAAGUGUUCAUACUUAUUUCAAAAGAAUUCCC